rnacentral:rRNA from 1 species
AGUCUAUUCAGAGGAAUCUGUCCUGUAAUUGAUAAUCCACGAUGAACCUAACUUAAAUUUGUAUUUCAGUUUAUAUACCGUCGUUAUCAGAAUAUUUUAUUAGAAUAAUAAUUUUCUAUAAUUUUAAUAGGAAUAUAUAUCAGAUCAAGGUGUAGCUUAUGUUUAAGUAGAGAUGGAUUACAAUAAUUUUAUUUAAACGGAUCUAAUUUUGAAAUAUUUUUAGUGAAGGUGGAUUUGAUAGUAAAAUUUUAAAGAUUGUGAAUUUGAUUUUAGCUCUAGAAUAUGCACACAUCGCCCGUCGCUCUUAUUAUUAAGGUAAGAUAAGUCGUAACAUAGUAGAUGUACCGGAAGGUGUAUCUAGAAUGA